UACGUAGGGUGCGAGCGUUGUCCGGAAUUAUUGGGCGUAAAGAGCUUGUAGGCGGUUUGUCGCGUCUGCCGUGAAAAAUCCGAGCUCAACCUCGGACUUGCGGUGGGUACGGGGCAGACUAGAGUGUGGUAGGGGGAGACUGGAAUUCCUGGUGUAGCGGUGAAAAUGCGCAGAUAUCAGGAGGAACACCCAAAUUUGCGAAAGGGCAGCUCGCUGGGGGACGACUGACGCUGAGACGCGAAAAAGCGUGGGGGGGAGCAAAAACAGGGAUUUAG
rnacentral:rRNA from 1 species